UACGUAUGGUGCAAGCGUUAUUCGGAUUUAUUGGGCGUAAAGGGUCCGUAGGUGGUUUAUUAAGUCAGGUGUGAAAUCCAACAGCUCAACUGUUGAACUGCACUUGAAACUGAUGAACUAGAGUAUUGGAGAGGUAAGUGGAAUUUCAGGUGUAGCGGUGGAAUGCGUAGAUAUCUGAAGGAACACCAAAAGCGAAGGCAGCUUACUGGACAAUCACUGACACUGAGGGACGAAGGCGUGGGUAGCGAAAAGG
rnacentral:rRNA from 1 species